CUCUCUCUCUCUCUCUCUCACAAAAACACACCGGAAGACACAGCAACCCUGCUCAGUAGCUACGAAGUCACUUACCACUGCUUAACACCUCUGAAGUCAACCUAGGUCAUCGGAAGAAGUAGAGGACACCAGAAACCCCCGUCGGCAUCCACCGCAGCAGCUCACCGGAAAACUCAAAAUCGACAGUAAAGGGAUUAUUAAGAUUUGUAAAAGAUUCGAGGGAUUAAGGGCACUAGGGUGCAGAGAAUGAAGGGAAAAGUUCGAAUAUGACAAUUCUAGGCCAAGUCGUCGUCGGAGACGGCGGAAAUAGACGAACACAGUCGGAGCUUCUCGCCAUCGAUUUGUCUUUGAAUCAGUAUGUGCAAUUCACGGGCUGGGUUAUGUAGAGGGGAAAGAGAGAAGAAAUUUGGUGGUGGUUUUGUGGAGAAUGGUGGCCAGAGUCGACCGAGAGGCGUCGGAGAAGACGGCCGAGGACGGAGAGCUUCUCAGCUCUCGUCGUACGCGAGAGAGGAGUGCUUGACCCGACUUGGGUCAGUUGACCUUGGUUGGGUUUUCAAAGAAGGAAUCAACGGUCAAGAUUAAAAGAGAACGAGAUCAAAAUGGUCUACUUGUUUACGAACACUAACCUACCAGUUUUGUAAACAUGGUGUACUAGGUUUUCGAAUCAUUGUCUCACACUACGAGUAGACCAACUCUAAAGUGUCCAAAAUUCACACACACUUGAAGAAUUCUUGAGAGGUUUACAUGUUUAUGAAGCCUGGUCUGCUUAUUUACGAGUACGGGUCUACUUUUUUUGUGAGACAAAAUGGUCUACCUGUUUACGAACACGAACCUACCUGUUUUGUAAACAUGGUCUACCAGGUUUCCGAAUCAUUGACUCAUACUAUGUGUAGACCAACUCUACAGUGUCCAGAAUUCACACACACUUGAAGAAUUUUUAAGAGGUCUAUCUGUUUACGAAGUCUGGUCUGCUUAUUUACGAGAAAGGGUCUACUUUUUUUGUGAGACAAAAUGGUCUACCUGUUUACGAACACUAACCUACCUGUUUUGUAAACAUGGUGUACUAGGUUUUCGAAUCAUUGUCUCACACUACGAGUAGACCAACUCUAAAGUGUCCAAAAUUCACACACACUUGAAGAAUUCUUAAGAGGUUUACAUGUUUAUGAAGCCUGGUCUGCUUAUUUACGAGUACAGGUCUACUUUUUUUGUGAGACAAAAUGGUCUACCUUUUUACAAACAGAAACCUACCUGUUUUGUAAACAUGGUCUAGCAGGUUUUCGAAUCAUUGUCUCACACUACGAGUAGACUAACUCUAAAGAGUCCAGAAUUCACACACUUGAAGAAUUCUUGAGAGGUUUACCUGUUUACGAAGCCUAGUCUGCUUAUUCACGAGUACGGGUCUACUUUUUUUGUGAGACGAAAUGGUCUACCUGUUUACGAACACUAACCUACCUGUUUUGUAAAUAUGGUGUACCAGGUUUCUGAAUCAUUGACUCAUACUACGUGUAGACCAACUCUAAAGUGUCCAGAAUUCACACACACUUGAAGAAUUCUUGAGAGAUCUACCUAUUUACGAAGCCUGGUCUGCUUAUUUACGAGAAAGGGUCUAUUUUUUUGUGAGACAAAAUGGUCUACCUGUUUACGAACAAUAACCUACCUGUUUUGUGAACAUGGUAUACUAUGUUUUCGAAUCAUUGACUCACACUACGAGUAGACCAAUUCUAAAGUGUGCAGAAUUCACAGACACUUGAAAAAUUUUUGAGAGGUCUACCUGUUUACGAAGCCUGGUCUGCUUAUUUAUGAGUAAGUGUCUACUUUAUUUGUGAGACAAAAUGGUCUACCUGUUUACGAAGACUAACUUACCUGUUUUGUGAACAUGGUGUACUAGGUUUUCGAAUCAUUGACUCACACUACGAGUAGACCAACUCUAAAGUGUGUAGAAUUCACAAACACUUGAAGAAUUUUUGAGAUCCUACAUGUUUACGAAGCUUUGUUUGCUUAUUUACGAGUAAGGGUCUAUUUUUUUCGUGAGACAAAAUGGUCUACCUGUUUACGAACAACAACCUACCUGUUUUGUGAACAUGGUGUAUUAGGUUUUCUAAUCAUUGACUCUCACUACGAGUAGACCAACUCUAAAGUGUGCAGAAUUCAUAGACACUUGAAGAAUUCUUGAGAGGUCUACCUGUUUACGAAGCCUGGUCUGCUUAUUUACGAGUAAGGCUCUACUUUUUUUGUGAGACAAAAUAGUCUACCUGUUUACGAAGACUAACCUAUUUGUUUUGUGAACAUGGUGUACAAGGUUUUCGAAUCAGUGACUCAUACUAUGCGUAGACCAACUCUAAAGUGUCUAGAAUUCAUAAACACUUGAAGAAGUCUUGAGAGAUAUACCUGUUUACAAAGCCUAGUUUGCUUAUUUACUAGUAAAGGUCUAUUUUUUUGUUGACAAUUGUCUACUAAUUGUCUUAGCGUCUCAUGAACCAGGUCUAACUUACGUUGACAAAUGACAAUUGUCUACUAAUUGUCUUAGCGUUUGUCAUGUACAAGUAGACUUCGGCAUGCAUAAGUCACCGUCUUCCAUAUGAAAAGAACACAUUUGAGAGGGUUGUUUUUUAGAAUAUUACUGCUCUUAUAUGCAAGUCUACUCAAAGUCCUAGUUUAAUGUGCACCAUGUACUAGUUUCAUGACACGCUUGCUCAUAUAGAAGUAGACAUUCUGAAGAGUUGUUCUUGAGACUGUUACCUAAUGAACCACCAAACUUUUCAUUGCAUCAAUAUCCAUCAAAAUACAUUGUAUCCCUCAGUUGCAAAAGUUUAAACUCUAAAUGACACGACCCAUCCCAAAUUUCACCCUGAAACCCAGAGUAAGUCGUGCGGGGACCACCUCCAAGGAAAAUUUACUAAAAAAUCGGCAUAACCUCCCUUGAAAAUGGACAACCCUUCCUAAUAAUACCUGUAAACACUUCUGAAAAUUUAAAUCCAACCUUAAACUCCUGGAGCCUCCGUGCUCCCCAAAUCACAACACCACCUAAAUUAUUUACUAAUCUAAACAAAUCUCGUAUCCAACCAUUUAUAGGUUUAGAGCAACUCUAACAGGAAGAAAGGAAACAUAAUAAAUUAACAAGCAGAAACUAUAUGAUGACUCUGCCUCAUCCCCAUGUACGCCCGACCUCAACUAUGCAAUCCUGCAAAUUGGGCAUUUUUAAAACGAAGAACCCAAGGGAAAACAUUUGAAACACAUUAGAGUGAGUGGACAAAAAUAAAUUAAGAGAUAAUUUCACUUUACUACCCUGAACUUUAGGUCUAAAAUCAGUUUGAUACCUCAUCUUUUUUUUUAAUCAGUUUCAUACCUAAACUUUCAAAAUGACAUCAAUCUCGACUAAAAUGACUAAAAUAGCCCUGGUUAAUCUUUUUACCCUCUCAGAGUUAAGAAAUGGCAGCGGCGACGGCCGAGGGAGGAGGAGGGGCUGCCGCCGGGGGAGGAGGAGAGGCUGCCGCCGAGGCCCAUUGCUGGUGGUNNNN
rnacentral:lncRNA from 1 species